AUGGCCUAAGCUGGAUCUCGACCCCUUUUAGCCACAGCUGAAACUGGAAUGGCUGGGAUGCAGGACACCAAGUCCCAAGGCUGCACAGAGCAACAGGUCCCUGGGCCAGGCCCAGCAUUAGGCCUAUCAAGUGUCAUGCACAGCUCAAGAGGAAAUGCUAUCUGGAAAUCCCCCAACUCCCAUGGAAAUUCCCAGCUGGCUCCCUGUACACUGCAGAUACCUGAAGUGGUUUUGAAGACUGGGCAGCUAAGACCUAAGUGAAGAAGAAUUCCUCCCCUGCAAGGAUGACCAAGAACCCAGCCGCUCUGUUUCCUUCCCGACUGGAGUCCUCUUCUCCACUGGGACCAGCUGUAUCCACCUGACCUCCAAGAGCACUCUCCAUGCCACGCACAGGGCACUGAGUGAACACCCACCUCAUUUCUCCCAGCAUGGAAAGUCAUUCCAGGAAUUCUGUGGGCAGUGGAGAGGCCCUUCCCCUUCCAGCAUGGGAAAGCCAGGCUGGUUGGGAAGCAGCUCAACUCAAGCUGCUGCUGAUACAGGUGCCCUCUCCUAGCCCCUCCCUUGUCCCCACCUGCAUUUCACCUCAAUUUCUAUCUGCAUAUGUGUCAAGUUCUCCCAAAUCCAGCAGCCACCAUGCCUGGCCUCACCA
rnacentral:lncRNA from 1 species